rnacentral:rRNA from 1 species
CCUUGUCAUUUAGAGGAAGUAAAAGUCGUAACAAGGUCUCCGUUGGUGAACCAGCGGAGGGAUCAUUACCGAGUUUACAACUCCCAAACCCCUGUGAACAUACCUUAUGUUGCCUCGGCGGAUCAGCCCGCGCCCCGUAAAAAGGGACGGCCCGCCGCAGGAACCCUAAACUCUGUUUUUAGUGGAACUUCUGAGUAUAAAAAACAAAUAAAUCAAAACUUUCAACAACGGAUCUCUUGGUUCUGGCAUCGAUGAAGAACGCAGCAAAAUGCGAUAAGUAAUGUGAAUUGCAGAAUUCAGUGAAUCAUCGAAUCUUUGAACGCACAUUGCGCCCGCCAGUAUUCUGGCGGGCAUGCCUGUUCGAGCGUCAUUUCAACCCUCAAGCCCAGCUUGGUGUUGGGAGCUGCAGUCCUGCUGCACUCCCCAAAUACAUUGGCGGUCACGUCGAGCUUCCAUAGCGUAGUAAUUUACAUAUCGUUACUGGUAAUCGUCGCGGCCACGCCGUUAAACCCCAACUUCUGAAUGUUGACCUCGGAUCAGGUAGGAAUACCCGCUGAACUUAAGCAUAUCAAUAAGC